rnacentral:lncRNA from 10 species
UCCACACCCCUGCCCCGCCUCCUCCCGGUAGGAAACUCCGGGACCCUGCAAGGGAUGACUCACCCCAGUGAUUCAACCGCGCCACCGAGCGCGGAGCUGCCCUGGAGGACGCAGGCGGGUCUAGUUGCCCGGGUCCCCCAAGGCCCCCGGAUUCACCCAGGCCCGCGACUCCGACGUGCAGCUUAGGUGGGUUGCAGGUCUAUGGCAGGAAAGGGAGGGCGCCUUGGAAGAAUUCUUCCCUUCCAUUUGGUGAUAAAGUGGGAGAGGCGGCAUUUACAACAUUUAAUAGAAAGCACGGGCUCUGGGCUCCCCUCGGGCAGCGGAGGGCAUUUCCCGGAUGCUUUGCCCACCUGGGGCAGAAGCUCGGGACCUGCAGCGAAGUAAACGUGUGGCUGUGAGCAGGGCCCUCUCCCAGCCACGGUGGCUUCUUCUACCCCACGAAGGUCAAGAAUACCUGGCCUGCCCACCUCGCGGGGCCCUUAGCGGGUCGCACAGGAGAAAGGCGGUGGGAAUGCCGGUGUCAGCCACGGUGUGACCGGCUCGGCUCACAGGUCUGAGGGUCAGUUGGCUCAGGCAUCGCCCGGUACGACCAGAGAUAGUGACUGAGGAAGAGCAGCCUCACAUCUGGCAGUUUGCCUCUGGGAGAAUUCCAGCGUGACAUCUGCAGCUCUGUGGUUCCAGAAAGGAUGGUUCCCACAUUGAAGAAGACAUCUGUGGGACUGAGUUCCACCGAAAUGCAGAGGAACCAAAAAUGAAAAUGAAAAAUGUAACCAGAGUUGUGUGCCACUAGUUUUAAGCUUUGGUUUUUCUAAAUUAUUUUCUGGCUUCUCCUUCUGGGCUUUGCUGUAAACUUGCCAAGCAUGAGAACAACUCUUCAUCUAUUGAGUGGCAUUUUAAGCCAUCCUGUCAAAGUAUCUCCUGUCAUUUUUAUUAUUAUUACUCUAUAUUGCCUGCAAGACACGACUGGAGAAUUCUUAGUGCUCUAGCCUGAGUCAUUUUCCCUAAGAGAUCUUCAGCUCCACCUGGGAUGUGAUUCUUUGCUCUCUGGGAUUGAAGGUAGCUGAAGAGAAAUAGUUACACUUCAGGUUUGUUACAAGACCCAAGAAAUUGUUGCAAUUCCACUUGGAGUCACUGACUUUUCUGAAAUCAUAUAGGGCUUUAAACAAUGUCAAGAUCAGCCAUUUGAUAAGAAAAAUGUUUACCAUUGGAUUGUGAUACACAAUGUGCCUUAAAUAUUGAUAAAUUAGAUGAAUAUUUAUUUUGUAUAUCCAUUAAAAUAGACAGGAAAGAGAAGAUGUUGGGUGUUUGCACAGGCUUUUUAGUCAGUACGGAAUGACAUUCUUCAAGAUUUAAAAAUGCUAAAAUCAUUACUAUUUUCAAGAAGAGGGAGGAAGAAAACGUGGUAAAUAAUAUUUCAUUGCGAAGUGUUUUUCCCUGACUGAUCUAAUUGUGGCCAGAUCUACUUUUUGACGGUGCGAAGUGUACUUUUUAAUGGUGCCAAACAGCAGUUGAUCUAUAAUAACUGCUGCUUGGCACCAUUAAAAAGUACAUAUCUAAAAUUUCACUGUUGAAAUUUGUUCACAAGAACAAAUUGACUGUUAAAAUUAUUCCCUAACCUUAACACAAUUUUUUUUACUCCUGUCAGUAAAGUCAAGCUUAGCAGUUAACAGUUCCCUCCUCCAUGAUCUAUCUUGGAGGCUCUGAGAAGUUCAAAAAGUUACUAAACUAUAACAAUAAUCUCUCUGGCUUGACCAGUCCCUUUCUCAUUGGAUUUUAG